UCGGCUUUGCCGACGAGGAGGGCGUGCGGUUUGCGUCCACGCUGCUCGGCAGCCGGGCGGUCGCCGGCACGUUCGACGAGAGCGUGUUGAAC
rnacentral:tRNA from 1 species